UCAGCAGCAGCAGCAAAGGCAGCUAAGUACGGAGCUGGUGUUCCUGGCAUCGCUGGCGUUCCUGGCAUUGCCGGUGUUCCUGGAGUUCCUGGUGUUCCUGGUGUUCCUGGUGUUCCUGGAGUUCCCGGUGUUCCUGGUGUUCCUGGCGCUGUGCCCGGUGUUGGAGUGGGUGGCCCGGCAGCGGCGGCUGCAGCCAAGGCUGCGGCAAAAGCAGCGGCGAUCGGAGCAGGACGCGUGCCCGGCGUUGGCGUGCCCGGCGUUGGCGUGCCCGGCGUUGGCGUUCCCGGAGUGCGUGUGCCUGGAGUGGGUGUGCCUGGAGUGGGUGUGCCUGGUGCUGGCGUGCCCGGUUUGGUGCCCGGGGUCGGUGUUCCAGGAGGUCCGGCAGCCGCUGCCAAAGCCGCCGCCAAAGCAGCCAAGUACGGAGCAGGUGGCCUGGCUCCCGGCGUGGGUGGCCUGGCUCCCGGCGUGGGUGGCCUGGUUCCUGGAGUAGGUGGCCUGGUUCCUGGAGUAGGUGGCCUGGUUCCCGGUGUUGGAGGUGUCCCAGGUGUUGGAGGUCCAGCAGCAGCAGCCAAAGCAGCAGCCAAGGCAGCCAAAUUUGGUGCUGGGGCUGGAGGGGUGCCCGGUGUGGGCGGAGUGCCCGGAGUGACCCCCGGCGUUGGUGGCGUGCCCGGCUUGGUGCCAGGGGUGGGAGUACCUGGAACUGGCAUCCUUCCCGGGGCAGGCAUCCCCCAAGUAGGGGUGCAGCCCGGUGCUAAACCUCCCAAAUUCGGUGUUCCUGGGGUUGGAGUCCCAGGAGUUGGUGGCCUCCCAGGUGGCCUAGGAGUCGGUGGGCUCGGAGCUGGUGGCCUCGGAGCCGCUGGGAAACCUCCCAAGCCAGGUGGGGUCGGCGGCCUGGGAUUUGGCGGGAAGCCCCCCAAGCCCUACGGAGGAGCCCUGGGUGCCCUGGGCUUUAGAGGUGAGCGCGUUUCCCGGCUGGCAGGGCCGGUUGUGCCCCCGGCCGUGCCCCCGGCAGUGCGGGCUGCGGGGUGCGGGCUGCGGGGUGCGGGGUGCGGGCUGCGGGCAGGGCUCACCCCGCGUUCCGUGCAGGCGGAGCGGGCUGUGCGGCAGGGAAGUACUGCGGCAGGAAGCGGAAGUAACGCUCCGUCACCGAUCACCUCAUGAACUUUGGUGCUACUGCAUGGUCCAGAAUGUAAAUCCGAAGCAAAGCUGAGACACCCCCUCCUCAGGCCCCGGAACCCCCCCCCGUCCAUGCCGGGGCCGUGCCCGGCCCCGCGUUCCACGGAGGGACCCCGCGUUCCCCGGCAGCGUCCGGGGCCCCCCGGCCCUCGGUCCCGGCAGGGAGCGCGGAAUAAAGUGCGGGGAGCAGCCGUCCCCCUUGGUGCU
rnacentral:lncRNA from 1 species